AUCUAUAAAACAUCGGCCUGGCGGAGGCCGAUAUAAUUCGGUCAGUGCUCUGUUCUCCAGCUCAUCAAUCGUCGGCCCUGAGUUGGUUCACGACCGCGGGCCGAUGCCGCGCUUCUCUGUGUGCGCGUGCCCAGUAUUCGUCUCUUUUAGCCACCCAGAGAGAGAGAAGAGGAUAAUCCCAGCGACAUCUGUGGCUCUCAGGUAACGUUACGAUUUCACUUCAGCUCAAUUAGACAAAAAAUACUACUUUGUUAAUUCUGUGACACUGAAAAAGUACUAGUAAGGCACACGGUGUGUUUUAUACAGUCUAUGGGCAGCUGAAGAGUCUGGCUCAUUUUCAAAUAAUGUUACCGUUAACUUUUUGAGCCAACGGUCACGGUAGCGAUUUUUUUUUAACAUUAAUGUUAACGCCUUAAUGCGUUUUCAGAAGUUUCUCGGAGAGAAAAUGUAAAAGCGGGUUAUUAAAGAGAAGUCCUGACUGCUUUUUCACCGUGUUUUUCACUCUUUUACAGGCUUUCAGAAAUAAUCCGGUGAAAUAAUAUGAUGUUUGUGUAAAUGCUGUGUGUGCGUUGAGUCCUGCGCCAGGCUGCGCGAGCGGGGAGCAGAGUUGCCAUGGAAACGGGGCAUCAACACAAAAACCGUUACUGGCAAGCAGUAAUCUCCGUCUCUCGCUGCAGUUUACACUGUUUUGGAAACGGUUUAGUUUCUUCGAAAAAGUCCGUUAGCAUCUUAGCAGUUUUCAGGAGGACAGAAAGAAACUCUACAGAACAGAAGUGAAGCUCCGAGAUUUCAACAUUUCUGAAGGGAGAUUCUGACUUAGAAAUACAGGUGACCUGAAGAAGCUCAUGAAAAACAUGAAUAUGCCUUUUUCAGAAUACAUUUCACCAAUUUUAAGAAGUCCCUGACAUCAUAACCUUGUUUCCUUCUAAUGAACCUGGAACUGCAGAGUAAAUAUUGUUGACUCUGUGUCAGAUUGCUUGUUUUGUUCCUGGAUUCUUCAGUGAUGAUGAGCAGAGUCUGAGUGAACCUGCUGUCAGACAGGUUGGCCUGAUUGACGAUGUCAUCGUUUCUAUAGACAGUUGUGAACGUGCUGACAGCUGGUUGCCCAGGCUAUGGAUUAAAGGUAAUACUGUUGGCCAGCAGAGCCCUGCUCACCCUGUCGGCCCACCGCUGCUGUCAGACAACAUCUCAAAGAUGCUAUAAACUGCAGGACCAG